CACACACACACACACACACACACACACACACACACAUACACACACACACACACACACACACAAGCAUGAUAAGCAGGUCUUAAGUUCAGCACUAUUGUACAAAGCAUCCAAAGUGUAGUUGAAAAUAUAAUAUUUACGUUUGUGUCUCCUUUGCAUUAUUGACUAACUGCCCCUGCCCCCAGAAAGGCCAGAAGCAAGGACUCAAGGAACGACUUAGUCAUAGAAUACUGAAGUUACUGUCUCUAUUGAGGGGACACUGUAUGCUGAUGAUAAAAACAAUACAUUACACUGCAUGGGUGAAAGUGACACUUUGUAGGUGGCUGUUUUUCUAUUAUCAUUUUGAACAGGUAUCUUCCAUUUUCACCGUAUGCUGUGUGUCACCAGACCUAAGGUGGUGGAUGUCCCUCAGGCUCCCGUGCCAAGGUUCUAGACUCUCCAGGGUUCUAGGCUCUCCAGGGUUCUAGGCUCUCCAGGGUUCUAGGCUCUCCUAAGACAGAAUGAGACUAGAACUCACUGUCAGUUGUCAUUACUGUACCCUAAUGGGUUCUUGCGACGAAGGUCUCUGAAUAUAAUUAGGAAUAAUUAACACGGUGGUUCAUUGAGACUGAAUAGAGAAUAGUCUCACUUGACCCUAUGAUGACCCUGUGAUAAUGAAGUGAGGUAUCGAUACUUUGACAACUUUAUGCAUGUACAUUAUUUGUGUUUUGCUGGGCAAGUGUUGGGGUGGAGAAUAUAACUUAGUGUGUGUGAUGCCAGAGGGAAAAUUUAAACUCAAGGUAUCGUAAAAUAUAGAGCUUUUUAAACGGGGGGUAUCGAUUUAGUUUUGUUUUUAUUACUGAAACUAAACUAAUGUAUUGUUUAGACUUUUGCGCUAGAGAGUUUGGACGGGGUUAGAACAUGAGGGUGUGGUUUAUAUAUGGUUAUUGUAGUUACCUAUUCUGUUUGUAUUAUGAUUUGUAUUAUGAAAAAAAUUACUGACAAUAUGAUGUAAUGUCAUUAAUUCAGGGGACUGAAUCUUGACCUUUUUAUUGACAAUGGAAAAAAAACAAUAAACUAUUAUGUACAAAAAUA